UGAUCACACACGGCGCGCGGGCUCUUCUUUUGUGUUUGGUUGGUUUGAGUUUUGACGAAGACGACGACGACGACCACUACCUACGGAUCGGAUCGCAUUCUCGUUGUAUUUUUUUUUUGGCAAAUUUUUGACGAGGAAGAAAAAGUGUUCUAACUAGAAAGUGAUUAAUCGGAGGAUUGAGCGAAAUUUUGGAAAACAGAAAAUCCGGUUCCGGAUUGGAAGAGCUGUUGUUCUGGAGAAUUGAAAGUGAGAAGAAAGUGAAAAAUGAUCGAUCGUACUUAACUGAGCAGGCGAUGUGCGAAGAAGUUCUACAUCCAGAAGGGUUCUGAGUGAGUCAAGUAGGCGCCGCCACUUGCCCAUCUUCGUCGUUGGAUUGUUGAUCGUCAUCAGUGCAAUACAUUCGGGAAUCGCAGCUCAGCGACAAAAUGACGUUUCGAAACGAAUGUGUUCUUCUCGAGGGUACUUUAGCUGUCAACGAUCAUGACGGAUGACAGCGGGUUUCGACGUGAAUAACAGUGAACAAAAACAAGUAAAACAUCGGUGCGAAGUUUUUCGGAACAAGUGAAGAAACAGAUCGAAUUGUAAAACUAGUAACAGUGAAGUUUUGACGGGGCAAAGGUGAUCAAUUUGAUUUUUUUUUGUGGUGAAAUAGUGAAGUUAUGCGAAAGUUCAGAUAACUAUCAGCGAUCGGAAGCAGUGUCCAAGAAACUUGAACUCCCAAGUCCAAUUCAUCAAAUCGAUGCAAAGGGAAAGAGCGAGGAUCCAGUAGUCAAACGGUUUAAUUUGGACACGAGUGUACAGAACAACAACAACCAACAAGUUCAGCCCCCGUCCCCCUCCACUCUGAUGCCGUCCAGUCCAUCGUCGUAGAGUGCGCGCGGUGAGACAC